GAUGAACGCUGGCGGCGUGCCUAACACAUGCAAGUCGAGCGAACAGAUGAGGAGCUUGCUCCUCUGUCGAUUGCCGCACACGGGUGAGUAACACGUGGAUCACCUCCCUAUAAGACUGGUAUAUCUUCGGAAAUCCGGCGCAUAUCCCAGAUAAUCUCUUGAACCGCAUGGUUCAUUAGUGAAUUUCGGCUUUUCUGUCUCUUCUCGCUGGUUCCGCGCCGCAUUAGCUAGUUGGUAAGGUAACGGCUUACCAAGGCUACGAUGCGUAGCCGACCUGAGAGGGGGAUCGGCCACACUGGAGCUGGGACACGGUCCAGACGCCUACGGGAGGCAGCAGUAGGGAAUCUUCCGCAAUGGGCGGAAGCCUGACGGAGCAACGCGGCGUGAGAGAUGAAGGUCUUCGGAGCGUAAAACUCUGUUAUUAGGGAAGAACAAAUGUGUAAGUAACUAUGCACGUCGUGACGGUACCUAAUCAGAAAGCCACGGCUAACUACGUG
rnacentral:rRNA from 1 species